ensembl:snRNA U6 U6 spliceosomal RNA
UUGCUUGCUUCAGCAGCACAUAUACCAAAAAUUAUAAUGAUACAGAGACAGCUAUCAUGGUACCUGAACCAAGACGACACACAAAGUUGUCAAGUAUUCCAUAUAUUU